CCUUUAAGACGAGGAUAACAAGUGGAAACAUUUGCUAAGACUGGAUAGGAAUAGAAGGAUAACCUUUUAUUUUUAAAAGACCUUCUUCGGAAGGUAUGCUUAAAGAGGGGCUUGCGCCACAUUAGUUAGUUGGUAGGGUAAUGGCCUACCAAGACUAUGAUGUGUAGCUGGACUGAGAGGUUGAACAGCCACAUUGGGACUGAGACACGGCCCAAACUCCUACGGGAGGCAGCAGUAGGGAAUUUUCGGCAAUGGAGGAAACUCUGACCGAGCAACGCCGCGUGAACGAAGAAGUAUUUAGGUAUGUAAAGUUCUUUUAUUGAAGAAGAAAAAAUAGUGGAAAAACUAUCUUGACGCUAUUCAAUGAAUAAGCCCCGGCUAACUAUGUGCCAGCAGCCGCGGUAAGACAUAGGGGGCGAGCGUUAUCCGGAAUUAUUGGGCGUAAAGGGUGCGUAGGCGGUUAGAUAAGUCUAUAAUUUAAUUUCAGUGCUUAACGCUGUUCUGUUAUAGAAACUGUCUAGCUAGAGUAAGAUAGAGGCAAGUGGAAUUCCAUGUGUAGCGGUAAAAUGUGUAAAUAUAUGGAGGAACACCAGAAGCGUAGGCGGCUUGCUGGGUCUUUACUGACGCUGAGGCACGAAAGCGUGGGUAGCAAACAGGAUUAGAUACCCUGGUAGUCCACGCCGUAAACGAUGAGUACUAAGUGUCGGGGUUAAACUCGGUACUGAAGUUAACACAUUAAGUACUCCGCCUGAGUAGUACGUACGCAAGUAUGAAACUUAAAGGAAUUGACGGGACUCCGCA
rnacentral:rRNA from 1 species